ACCUAGCAAGCUCAUUUAAUUUAGCCUUGGGGUGGACUGCUAUGGCUUAAACUCUUCAGGCUUCACUGAAAAAGUGUUUUAGGAGUGGAGAGCAAAACAUGAAGAGGUCAGAUGUGGAUAAGUCAUGAAUGAGUAUUUAGACCAACAGAAAGGUAGGCUACCUUUAAAUACUCUCCCUCAACAUACAAUAUCCUCGACUUAUUAACGAUGAGCCUUCACUUGUAGUUGUAGCCAACUGUUCUAAGCUAACCACUUGCUCAUGUGUGCAGACAGGAUUCAGUACACACUGACAACUGCAUUCUCUUCCUUUUCACACUUACAUUUGUGCUAAUUUUUUUUCAAGCUUUUUUUUCAAGCUCACCUUGGAUAUUAGUGUCCCACAUGAGAUUUAUCAUGAAAAUGUUUUCCUGGAUUCCACGUGAAUCUCGAUAGAGUACUCGCCUAGCAGUAAGGAGGAACAGCUGAUCCUUAGCACAACAGAAACACCCUCUGAAAGUGCUCUGAUGCUGAGUGGACUGUCUCAGAAUGCCUUAAAGACUCUUUGUGAAUAAACAUCCUCUCAAAUUUGUCUAGUUUAACAACACACUGGAGCAUAUUCUGGAUUUGGUCUUUUCGAAAGAAGCUCAACACAACCUUUGAUGUCAAGGGCAUAACCCUCUCGUGAUUUCUGUAUUUUCAUUGAUAUGCUGAUUUCUUCCACACUCAAACUAGAUAUAUUUCAAUAGGUGAAACAAAUACAUAAAGUGCAAACACAGCUGCAGCAUAAAGGCUCUUUAAAUGACUUUGUAUCAGAUGAGACAGUUCAUGUGUUCAUUUUUGACCAGAAAAUUGUACUGUUAGUGACCUACAUGUAGCCUACCUAUGUGAAGUCAAUUAUAGGUGAACAGCAGAGAGAUUCAUGAAUAACUGACUGUAAAGAGUUGUGGCAUAGGCUAUUACGUGGAGCCUUCCCCUGUUAUUUACUUUAAUGGUGACUUUAAUAGUGUGUGCUGAAUACAGCCUUACAAUUUUUUUAGACUUUCCCUUUAAUAUCUUUGAUACAUAUUCAUCUUUCACGCUAGUGUAUAUUUUUAUCUCUAUUUUCUUCCAUCUCAAAGGGAAGGGAGGAGAUAAGGAGAAGAGAGAUUCAUACAUGUAUCAGAGGAUCAAACAUAUUAGCACACAUGCGACAUAUGCACAUGAUGCAUACAUGAUUCCAA